rnacentral:rRNA from 1 species
GCUCAGAUUGAACGCUGGCGGCAGGCCUAACACAUGCAAGUCGAGCGGGGAGAGGUAGCUUGCUACCUGACCUAGCGGCGGACGGGUGAGUAAUGCUUAGGAAUCUGCCUAUUAGUGGGGACAACAUUCCGAAAGGAAUGCUAAUACCGCAUACGCCCUACGGGGGAAAGCAGGGGAUCUUCGGACCUUGCGCUAAUAGAUGAGCCUAAGUCAGAUUAGCUAGUUGGUGGGGUAAAGGCCUACCAAGGCGACGAUCUGUAGCGGGUCUGAGAGGAUGAUCCGCCACACUGGGACUGAGACACGGCCCAGACUCCUACGGGAGGCAGCAGUGGGGAAUAUUGGACAAUGGGCGAAAGCCUGAUCCAGCCAUGCCGCGUGUGUGAAGAAGGCCUUUUGGUUGUAAAGCACUUUAAGCGAGGAGGAGGCUACUUAGAUUAAUACUCUAGGAUAGUGGACGUUACUCGCAGAAUAAGC